rnacentral:rRNA from 1 species
AUUGAACGCUGGCGGCAUGCUUUACACAUGCAAGUCGGACGGCAGCGGGGUAGUGCUUGCACUACUGCCGGCGAGUGGCGCACGGGUGAGUAAUAUAUUGGAACGUACCGAGUUAUGGGGGAUAACCAAUCGAAAGAUUGACUAAUACCGCAUACGCUCUGUGGGGGAAAGCAGGGGAGCUUCUGGCCUUGCGCUAUUCGAGAGGCCAAUAUCUGGUUAGCUAGUUGGUGGGGUAAGGGCCUACCAAGGCGACGAGCCGUAGCGGGUCUGAGAGGAUGAUCCGCCACACUGGAACUGAGACACGGCCCAGACUCCUACGGGAGGCAGCAGUGGGGAAUUUUGGACAAUGGGCGCAAGCCUGAUCCAGCCAUGCCGCGUGUCUGAAGAAGGCCUUCGGGUUGUAAAGGACUUUUGUUAGGGAAGAAAAAGGAGCGGUUAAUACCCGUUUCUGCUGACGGUACCUAAAGAAUAAGCACCGGCUAACUACGUG